rnacentral:rRNA from 1 species
GACGAACGCUGGCGGCGUGCCUAAUACAUGCAAGUAGAACGCUGAAGGAGGAGCUUGCUUCUCUGGAUGAGUUGCGAACGGGUGAGUAACGCGUAGGUAACCUGCCUGGUAGCGGGGGAUAACUAUUGGAAACGAUAGCUAAUACCGCAUAAUAGUAGAUGUCGCAUGACAUUUGCUUAAAAGGUGCAAUUGCAUCACUACCAGAUGGACCUGCGUUGUAUUAGCUAGUUGGUGAGGUAACGGCUCACCAAGGCAACGAUACAUAGCCGACCUGAGAGGGUGAUCGGCCACACUGGGACUGAGACACGGCCCAGACUCCUACGGGAGGCAGCAGUAGGGAAUCUUCGGCAAUGGACGGAAGUCUGACCGAGCAACGCCGCGUGAGUGAAGAAGGUUUUCGGAUCGUAAAGCUCUGUUGUAAGAGAAGAACGAGUGUGAGAGUGGAAGGUUCACACUGUGACGGUAUCUUACCAGAAAGGGACGGCUAACUACGUG